GACGAACGCUGGCGGCGUGCUUAACACAUGCAAGUCGAACGGAAAGGCCCUGCUUUUGUGGGGUGCUCGAGUGGCGAACGGGUGAGUAACACGUGAGUAACCUGCCCUUGACUUUGGGAUAACUUCAGGAAACUGGGGCUAAUACCGGAUAGGAGCUCCUGCUGCAUGGUGGGGGUUGGAAAGUUUCGGCGGUUGGGGAUGGACUCGCGGCUUAUCAGCUUGUUGGUGGGGUAGUGGCUUACCAAGGCUUUGACGGGUAGCCGGCCUGGGAGGGUGACCGGGCACAUUGGGACUGAGAGACGGACCAGACUCGUACGGGAGGCAGCAGUGGGGAAUAUUGCACAAUGGGCGGAAGCCUGAUGCAGCAACGCCGCGGGCGGGAUGACGGCCUUCGGGUUGUAAACCGCUUUCGCCUGUGACGAAGCGUGAGUGACGGUAAUGGGUAAAGAAGCACCGGCUAACUACGUG
rnacentral:rRNA from 1 species